AGGUAAUGGAAGCAGUCUGUGAUGUUUUUUUUUUUUAGUUAACAUCAGCUGUCUGCAGCUUAGUUCCAGCACAAACAGCACAAAUCUGCUGCUGCAUAGUUCACAGUAACGGACUCGAAGCAACUGGUAACCUGUUCGCCAUUUUCUGUGAGUGUGUGUGAUCAGAGUCCGGGAAUGAGAGCAGAAACAGUUAGUUGAUAGUCAGCAGCUGAACUCAGAGUCGUUGUUACUGUGGAUCCACUUACUGAUGACUGAAGGCAGUUUGCCUCGAUUAGACUGUGGAGGAGGCGGCGAGGAGCCGCUGCUAUGUCGCUCACUGAGCUACAAAAUGCGGCCUCAACAUAAACCUCGAAAUAAAAAUACUGCGUCACAAACCUCUGGCUCUCUUCUAACAGGAAGUAGGCUAUUGUUCACUGUUUACACCCACAGAGGAGUGGUGUUACUCAGAGACUGACUGGAUUAAACGGACCAAAAGUUUUUAUGAACUUUUAUUGCUACACUUUAUUAAAUUUAAACAUAAUCAUUUAAAGCUGAUUACAUAUAAGUCACAAUUGUUACUGACUUUCUCACUGACACGCCCAGCGGAGCUGCUGUCUGCAACAUGAGUGCUGACAUCAUCAGUCUGUCAUCAAUGUAGAGACAGAGCCGGUGAUCUCAGUAAGAGAUCACCGGCUAUACAUAUCUAGAAAUACUGAGUUUGUGGACAUCAGGGCAGCUUUUUUCCUACAUGACUGAUUCUAAACAUCACUGAAUAUAUUUUUGAGGAGUUGUUGAACAUCUACAGUAGUCUGGAUGUGCUCUGAUAGCAUUUUCCACUAAAAUAUUCAAAAUUCUUAAAUACAGAUAAAAUGUUGCUGAACCAUUACAUUUAAAGAAGAUGUCUCGAUGUAAACGUGAACUACAUCUACAGGCAAACAGAAUCAUGAUCACAUGAAGAAUGUUUCCAGUGAUAAAUGAUUAAUCUGUGAAUAUUUAUUGGCUUGAAAUGAAAAUGAUAAAUCAGAGUCCUUUUCAUGGAUCUUUGUUGAUCUCUCUCAGAAAUAUAUUAAAUCAAAGUGUGUUUAUAAAAAUCAUUUUAGGAUUCUCUGUAGUAACAAUGGUUUAAUGUUGUAAUUUUAAAGCUGUGAGCUGAAAUAUGUGUGUGAAAUAAUCAGCUGUCAUUUGUUCCAUUGGUUCAUUUUCUGCAGGCAGACUGCAGACUGGGAAACACCAGUCCUUCUUAGUCCUUCUACUCACAACAUAUAAGAAUCUAACUGGAACACGUCCUCUUACUGAGGUCUGCACUACGAAGCAGGAUUUGAUCUUAUCAAGGUAAUGUCAGGGUUCUUACAGGGGUAUGUUCCCAAUGGUAACUUAUGCAGCUAUUUUUCAGUCUCACUGACCAAACCUUUUCAAACAUGCUGGACUUGAAACAUGAAAAACAGACAUUGGUUUUGAAUUGUGGUUCAGCAGAAUCACGUUUCAGUUUUUAGCCCUGUUUUGGUUCAUCAUCCUGUUGGAGGAUCUGUGACCUGUGACUGAGACAAAGCUUUCUGAUACUGGGCAGCACAUUUCACUGUACACUAUCUAGGGGUUGUUGUUUUUUUGUUGUUGUUGUUAUUUUUGUUUGUUUUUUGCAGGAACACUUAACUUUUACAAAUAAUUAGAUUCAUCCAUUAUUUAUUACUUAUAUUUAUCCGACAUGAUUCCUUCCAAAUGUCUGAAGUAAUGCUGGUACCUACUCUAACUGGAAGAAGUAGUCUAUAAACAGAUUUGUUAAUAUUUGAACCUUUGCAGUACAAAUGUUCAUAUUUGUACAAGCAGGCUGGGUGUGGCUGUGUCUGUUUGUUUUACAGCAUCAGAGCCAUAGCAGGAAGUUGUUGCUGUUGUAAUCAUUGGCGUGUUCCACACAGUGGAGAACCAAAGAGUGAAGAAGUUCUUUGGAAGAAGCUGAAUGAACAGUCUGUGUCAGUGUCUUCAGACGGCUGCAGGUUGUUACCAGCUUCAUUAAAUGUUUCUCAUUCUGCAUUUCAUAUCACAUCUGCCACUGUUUGAUCCUCUUUAACAGAGGAGAUCAGACUGUAAUGUGAUAUUUAUUAAGACUCAGUUUUCUUGUGAACUCUGAACAGAUUAGAUUAGAUUAGAUACAGCCUCACAAAUCAAACUAUAAACUAUAAAACGAGCUCUGAUUUGAGUUCAGAUGGUUCAGAUGCUGGACUCCAGUCUGACUGAUACUCAAGUUGUUUUAUGGAGCGCCAAGAUUCAUGUUCAUUUGUUAAAUAUUCUUCAUAAUUCAUGGAGAAUAUUUAACAGGAAUCAGUGAGCGCCCCCUGCUGGUUCCCUCUGAGUGCUGCUUGUCAGUCUGCAGUGAUACUGCAGGAUUGAUUUAUGGAGGCUUUGAGGGAUUCACUGCAGUUCUUCUGUAGUUAGUCCCUCACAGCUACAUAGUCAGUCACAGUGCCACUGAUACGAGCUACACCAGUUCUAUAGUCCCUACAAACAACACAUGAAAUACUAACAGGCUGAAAAGGAGACCAGGGAGUGUGAAUGAUCACAUAUGUGACAUGUGAUGUGUGGAUAGAUGGAAAAUCUGUAAUAAAUACAAGGUAAAAUUAAAUAGCCUGUCUCUCUGCUGAUAAUGUGUGGAUAUAGGGGUAAUGAUAAAACUGGAAAGAUGUCAUUCUAUGUUCUGUUAAUGAAAACUCAUUUUUAUCUUCAUCUAAAUAAACUUCUGUUUCAAUAAGCACAAAAUCUGCAUAUAUAGAAUCAUGAGCAAAUUGAAUUAAAUGAAUAAUUGAUUUUUUCAAAACCAUUUAAAAACUCUGCUAACUGACACAAUGUGAUGUUUUAUUCUUCCCCGGAGGCUCCAUGUCUACCACCAUUAUUUAUUUUCAUAGAAAUCUGUCAGAAAUGUUAAUUCAGGAUUGUUUUGAUUACUGUAUCUCUCUAAUAAAACCACAGUAACUUCUGCAGCUGCAGCUUUUGUUGUGAAAGUGGAGUUUCAGAACUGAAGUUUGAUUCAAUCAAUCAAUCUUUAUUUAUAAAGCACUUUUCAUACAAAAAAUGUAGCACAAAGUGCUUUACAUGGUUAAAAGCAGCCCCCCCAACACACACACACACACACACACACACACACACACUUACUUAAAGAGUAAAAUUGGGCUGGGUACACAUGAGCCAAGUGAGGAAACACUAUCACAGGGAGCCGUCUGCACCUGGAGCCGGUCACAGACCGCAGCCUCCAGGCUGGGCACACAGCAGGAGGGAGGCAAAGAAGCCCCCCAGCCAGGCUGAGAGGACCCACAGAGCCCCAGCAGCCACGGUCAAUCACAGCCCCAGUGCAGAGAGCCC
ensembl:lncRNA